AUUGAACGCUGGCGGCAUGCUUUACACAUGCAAGUCGAACGGUAACAGGCCUUCGGGUGCUGACGAGUGGCGAACGGGUGAGUAAUGCAUCGGAACGUACCCAGAGGUGGGGGAUAACGCAGCGAAAGCUGUGCUAAUACCGCAUGUGAUCUGAGGAUGAAAGCGGGGGACCGAGCAGCAAUGUUUGGCCUCGCGCCUUUGGAGCGGCCGAUGUCGGAUUAGCCAGUUGGUGGGGUAAAGGCCUACCAAGGCGACGAUCCGUAGCUGGUCUGAGAGGACGGCCAGCCACACUGGGACUGAGACACGGCCCAGACUCCUACGGGAGGCAGCAGUGGGGAAUUUUGGACAAUGGGCGCAAGCCUGAUCCAGCAAUGCCGCGUGCGGGAAGAAGGCCUUCGGGUUGUAAACCGCUUUUGGCAGGAACGAAACGGUGUCCGCUAAUACCGGGCGCUAAUGACGGUACCUGCAGAAUAAGCACCGGCUAACUACGUG
rnacentral:rRNA from 1 species